rnacentral:rRNA from 1 species
UACAGGAGGUGCAAGCGUUGUUCGGAAUUAUUGGGCGUAAAGGGCGCGUAGGCGGUGCGGUAAGUCUGUAGUGAAAAUCUCUGGGCUCAACUCAGAGUCUGCUGCAGAAUCUGCCGUGCUUGAGUGUGGGAGAGUGAGUGGAAUUCCGGUGUAGCGGUGAAAUGCGUAGAUAUCGGGAGGACACCUGUGGCGAAAGCGGCUCACUGGACCACAACUGGACGCGUGAGGCGGACGAAAGCUAGGGGA